UACAAAUUUAUGAACAAUGUUUCGAUUCGACAAAGUAAACUCUAAAAUGGAAAUAAAGCCUGACAAGAAAAGGACUACUAAUUUAGCCAAAGAGGCUGAAAAAAUAUCUGCCGAUUUUGACGAGUUUCUGAACAAUUUGUUUGGUGGUAAAGUUUUGUCCAAGUUUUCUAAGUUUGGAAAAUCCAAUUCUAUUCCUUCGGUUGGUGCUUCCGUAUUUUCGAAAGAUUACAGGAGCUCUUGUUCUGAAAAGCUUUCUAGAAGUGAAUUUUCAAAAUCAUCAUUCGGACGAUCCACAUCCUCCGUUUCCGAAGACCAGGGGCUAAAUUAUGGAAGGUCAUCAUUUGGGACUGGGACCUACCAUGACCAACAAUCGCCUGAAUCAAGAAAAAAUCUACGAUUCAACGAGCGCGUGUCGACUUCAGAAAGCAUUGGAGGCGGGGAAAUAAUCGAAGAAAAAUUGCCUAGUGUUGUCUCUGGCAUUGCGCUCUGGGAAAAACGGUCUUUGAAAGAUCCUCCUUUGAACCCCAGUUAUAAUAGAGCCCAUGGGAGCUCCUCCAUUUCCGUCACUUCGAAAAACUAUUUUUCAACUGUUGACGAACAAACUCAAGAACACAGGACACCUUUUCCUGCAAUGCCAUUACCGAUGUCCAACGCUGAGUUAUCAUACGGCAGAUGCACAAACUCGUCGUCUACUGUUGUCACCACUUCAAACUUGUCAACGAGCAAUUCUCCUUUUCUCGACUCGUACCGUCGAGUUAUGUCUCCGGUUGGUGAGAGUCUGUCUCAGUCCACAAGUCCCGUUCCUUCUAAAAGUCUCCAAUCUGUGUUAACAAGUGAAAGUCGCAUGGCACCUUUUAAUAUAUCUACUCAAAUCACAACAAUUUACAACAUCCCAUCUUUAGCACAUCUUCCAGAUGCUUCAGAAAUGACCCAGCCGAAAAAUCAUGUUCCGUCUAAAAACGAAUUUCAGUCUCGCGAAGAGCAUCAAUCUUCAGAGAGUUACAAGUACGGUAGUAAAGUUGCCUCCGUUGAGCGGGUAGGUCGUUCAUUUGUUGAUUACAAUCCAGCGUUAGACGAUAAAUUAUUAGAAACUCGUAAGAUAAAAGAUGGCCCCGGAACAUUGCGUAGCUCCUCCGAGCAAGAAGAUUAUAUCGAUAACAUUUUACAGUCAUUGCAAUCGGCUGAACAACCUUCUAAGAUGUCUCUUCAUAACAAGUCUUUUGACUUUCUGCCUGAUCGAAAAUCACUGGAGAAAAGUGUGACAUCAGACGCCCGAUCUAAAUCAUUUGAGAACAUCGAUCGUUUUGAGACAGAUGAACAACCGGUAAAUGUGAGUAGUAUGAUAUCUUACUUUGAACAACGAAGGAAACUUUCCAAUACAAUCAAAAGUCUAUCCGAGGGCAAAUUGAUUGAAUCACCCAAUGUUCAGACGCUCAACAGGUCAAAACUUUCUGACAUUCGUGUCAUAAAUAAAGAUGACAAACACACGAGCAACCUAAUUCCAUCGAAUAAAAAAUCCGUUGAACGCCGUGAACGGAGAAAGAAACCUAAAAUAAAACAAACUACUGAGAUAACGAUAAUUAAAACAAUUCGUAAGAAGGAAUCUUCAUCGCUGAAUCAAUCGUUUGAUAGUUCUGAUUUGUCCCACAAAAAUCGGCUCUUUAUCGAAGAUCCAGGGCGUCGACCAGCCACAUCUUUGCAGCGAGAUACAUCACCAACAAUUUAUCCUGUCAGUUCAGCACCCAGUGUCGAAAAGCCAGUAUACAUCGUUGAAGAAACUUCAGUCCUUGUUGAGGACUUGUCAUCAUCUAACCGGUCGUCUUACCUUGACGAUUCUGCCUCAGCAAGCGAUGCAGUUGCGAGUGCACGAAACUCAAGAAUUUCAACAGCAGAUGUAAGACCAAGCCCAAUUGUUGAAGCCAUGAAUAAUGUUUCGAAUGUGGCUCCCGAUUCUUUUGUUUUGAAUGCUUUGAGUGACGAGAAGAAAGUUGAUUUGCCAACCCGUACCGAUUCUAUUGCUGAUGAAGCUCAAGAGACCUACUAUGACGCCCGAAGUUCGUUGCCAUGCCUCACACCUGAUGGAAAAAUUUACAGCAUAGAGCCUCUAUUUGUAAUGUUAGAUAGUGCAAGCCAGACAAUGGACGGCAAUGAUCUGCAAAGUAAAGGUGGAGCUGAAAAAUUACAAAUGGUGGAACAUUUAGAGCCCACAAGAGAAAAUUCUCGACUGGCGUCCGCAAUAAAAACGAACUCUCUUGCCGGAAGGAAUGAUUCCGUUAUUAACAGAACCGGUUUGACAUCUCCACUUCAGGAAUCUUCUGAGUCUCUAGAUUACUCAAAUUCGACAAAUGCACCCAGUUCAAUUCAGGGAUCAAAGUCUGUUGUGUCAACAAACGAAAUCAGUGUAGUGAUUCCCCAAAUUGGAACGGAUCGAAAGUGUAGUACAAAUUUUUCGGCUAUUGCGCUACUUCCUCUGGCCGAACCAAAUUUGACAGGACAAGGUGGUAUAAAUAUUUUUGGUUCCCUUGUCGAGAAAACUGCUGAAUCAAAAUCUGCAAUAACCAAGCCCACUUUCGUUGAUUCUUUAAAGUUGGAAGAAGAAAAUGCGUCAUCACAAGUCGAAUUUAAGUCAUCUCGAAUAGAAAACGAAGAACGUAUCAGCAUAUCGAGCAUUUACUCAUCUUCAAGUAAUUCCGAUGUUAUGCGUGACAGUAUGAAAGAUCAAAGUUUAGAUGAGAUUUCAACACAGAACUCGCCUUAUGUAACAUCAGUCUUGAAAACUCCGACAAAAAUAACUUCGGACAUUACUGUGCUAUCUGUUGGAUUUCAAGAAAGCGCACCCACAGAUAACAUUAAAAGUUUUGCACCUUGCAUCAGUAAUAUAAAUGAUGAUCGAGUCGACUCUCAUCGUACAAAUUCUUCCUCCGUCGUUCCAGACGUCUCUAGAGUCACAUUGUCUCCCCAGUUACCAUCUUAUAAGAUAGAGAAAGCUGGAAUUGCGUCAACUUCGACGUCAUCCACCUCCAUCUCUUAUCAAUGUCGUGCCAAUGCUGAUGAGCAAACAACGGUUAAGAUAUAUGAACUUGGACGUCUAGAAACAGACGAGCAUACAGGUGAAGUAAAUGCGGAGCUCACAACUGAAACUUAUUCAUCGGAGUUUGUUAUUCCUGCCAGCAGUUCUGAUGCUAUUAUCACCGCAUCUGAUAACAUACAAAAUGUUUCAGGAAUUGCUUCAACUUUGACGACGACUGCUGUUCAAUUUUGUGGCAACUCUGAUGGCAUGCGAAGAAUUGUUGAAAAGCCUGGACUUCGGAGUUAUGAUAUCGUUGAGGACUCUACUAGAAGCGAAAGCCAGGCCAUGAAAUUUUUGAGGAAAACUGAGGAUUCAAGUGUCAAACCUCCGUCUCAUUCAAUCUUAACUUCUUCUGUUGUUGCUAUGGCCGUUGCUGUCCCAGAUCAUUCUGCUCAGGAAGCAAUCGACACGGCGCCCGAGUGUGAACCUUCGGGUGGAAUUGGGCCAGCAUUGGUAGCUUCUUCGAACUUGGCCGUUGUUAUCGCAGCUCUCACAUCACCUUCCACUGAAGCAAAUUCCUGCGAACCGAUAGUGCCGACACAACCUGAGCUUCUACCUGAGGGUCAUGCCUCAGAAUCUGUAAUUACAUCGAACAGUAGUGAUUUUUUGACUACAUCGAGCCAAACAUCUAAGUUUCAUGCUAUUGGAGUCAAUUCUCAAAAAUCGGUUCAUAUUUUUCAUCCAGCCGCUUGCCGUGCAGAUAGUCAAAUGGUAGAAACAUCAAAAACGGCUACGGUGGUUACUUCUUCUACGUCAACAACAUGCGAAAAAAGCUACUCAGAGUCAGCAGAAGCAACGCGGCUCGAACUUGGAUCUGAAAGUAAGCAUUCUGAACGUCUCGUUUCUGCGAGUUGUGAUGAAGUGAUGAGCACAUUGGACGAUGCUCAUGCGGUUGCUGAGGUUCCUUCAACUUAUAUGCUGACAUCAGUCGUUGAGUCUCAAUCUCGUGCCAUGACUGAUGAAAAGUCUAGAAUGGCUGAUAUGGCUAAACUUCAACAUUGCAAUGUCGAUGAAGGCUCUACGGAAAACCAGUGGAAAAUGAAUAAAAUUGGGGAAACAACACUUCAAUCGGGUGUCAGGCCGCCAAGCCAUUCAAUCCUAACUUCUUCUGUCGUUGCUAUGGCCGUUGCUGUGCCAGAUCAUUCUGCUCAGGAAGUUAUCGACACGGCGCCCGAGUGUGAACCUUCGGGUGGAAUUGGAACUGCUAUUGUAGCUUCUUCGAACUUGGCUGUGGUUGUUGCUGCUCUUCCGCCACCUUCCAAUGAAGGCAAUCCUCCCGACUCGGUGCCAGGAAAACCUGAUUUGCCACCUGAAAGUCAUUCCUCGGAGUUAAUUAGUUCUAACAGCCGUUGUGAUGUUUUAACGUCCGCAUCUGAUAUCGCAAAUGAUGAGUCAAUGAUUGCUUCUACUUCGACAUCUACUGCUUAUUUUGCUGUUAAAUCCCAUAGCAAUACUACUGGUGACGAACAAAGAAAAUUUGAAAUUUCUGGACUUGAAAUUUAUGAUAUCGAUCAGAACUCUACCAGCCACGAGAGCCAGAGAACGAAAUUUUUGACGAGUCCUGAAGAGGCGAGUGUCAAAACUCCCUCCCAUUCAAUCCUAACUUCUUCUGUUGUUGCUAUGGCCGUUGCUGUACCUGAUCAUUCUGCUCAGGAAGUUAUCGACACGGCUCCCGAGUGUGAACCCUCGGGUGGUAUAGGGCCAGCAUUGGUAUCUUCUUCGAAUUUGGCAGUAGUUGUCGCAUCUCUUGCGUCACCUUCUAAUGGGGCUAAUGCCACCGACGCAACAUUGCCGGAAGAACUUGAGCUCCCUACUGCGAGUCAUACAUCGGAGUCUGCUAUAAAUGAGAGUUGUAGUUGUGUUUUGACGACUACAUCGGACAAAGAAUCUAAUCAAGAAGUUACUGGGAGAUAUUUGAACAGUGAAUUUAAUUUCAAACAUUUACUGCCCUCUCAAACAUCGGUAUCGGCUUCUUCCUGUGUCACUCACAACGAUGCUAAACGUCAAAUGAUGGAAUCCUUGAAACCAGCAACGGCUGUCUCCUCUAUCACGUCACCGACCACUCAAACAGUGGUGAAACCUAUUAUUUCUGAAAGCUGUACUUCGAAGUCUGAUAUUUCUAAGAGCAUAACUGACGAUUUAAUGGCCAGGUCGAACAACGCACCUGAUGUCCUCCAUGUUACUGGAAUGUAUUCGAAUCCUACUGCGAAUUUCGGGACUUGGACACAUUCUCAGACUCCUUUAUUGGCUUCUCACAUGGAUAUAGACGCGGAAGCUAAACAAAUAGCCGAAUAUUCUGAUAAAUGGUCAAAUUCUCAGACUACAAGGAGGGUCGAAAAAUACAGUACAAAAACAAUUGUAAAUUCAUUGGACCUACAAUCUCGAAUGAAAUACAUUGAUAAGUUGCAGAGUCACUUAGUGGACAGUUCUAGUUCAUCUUCUCUAAGCAUAUUUACAUCCAAAGAUGUACCAUCUUUCACUCGAAGUCCUGAUUCAGAUUCCGAAAAUGCAACUGAAGAACGAAUUCAAAAUCUUGGGUUACAACCUCCUGCCAAGAUAUGCUCAGUAACUUCUUCUGAUUUUGGAAAAUAUCCGAUCACUGCAUCUUUGGUUGCUCCAGCAGCAACUAAUGAUGCAAGAAGACCUGAUGAUGACCCAACCAUAUCUUCAAAAUUUGAAAAUCAACGAUAUCAGUUUUUGUUUGCAACUCCCAAAGAACACAUUAUUUCACGGCCAACUGAUUCAAAGACGCUAACCACUGUGAUUGCGUCCACUGAAAAAAUGCUUGAGUUAAAGUCGAACGUGAGUGUUAGUGGCGCAGUUGAACAGCUGCCAACAACUGAAGUUGCUCGAGUGCCAUCGAGUUCUCUUGAAAAAAAAAUUGAUGCAGAUCAUUGUGAUGUUGAACAUGAAAUAAAGGUGUGCCAAAUCGAUGGUAAAAAGGCAACUGAAGACUUCCCGAAAGAUAUAAUUACGAAUUCUUUCACUGGAAAGAAAGUGCACUUUCCCGAAGACUCUAAUGAAACCCAAUUAUUGAAGUCGAACACGUUUUCUGAAAUAGAUGGUUCAACAGUGAAGACAUUUUCAAUCAAAACAAGCGAGAUAGUCAGAAACUUCCCCACAUUGACCAAGCUUCCCGAUGAUAAAUCACCCACUGGAGAUGCAGGUACUGUGGAAUCAUUUUCUUAUGAAUCUUCUGCUGCUGAUCGCCAAAGCGCUCAAUUUCAAUCCCUAAAAUUUAGGAAAAGUUUCGAGAGUAACACUGACUCCUCCGAAUCUCGCUCAAACUCCCGCACUUCUCGUGAAAUUUACGAAAGUAAUGUUAAGCAAUGGGAAGAAUACCUUGAAGCUGCAGCAACCGGUAAGCUUAGCAGUGAUGCUAUUGUACCGAAAAAGAACAGGGGAGUGCCUGUUUUGCCUCACCCUGAAGGUUCGUUUUUGACCCCUCUUGUUCUAGAGUCUGUAACGCUCAAGCCUACUGGAUUAAAUAGGAAUGAUUCCAUCGAACAGACUCAAAAUGAACGCUCAUAUUUGCAUCAUAUCUCGUCUUCGAAUGCAGCGACUUCCGAUGCAGAAUUGGAGUCCGGAAUUGAUGUGCCUGUAGAAAAGGUGUCUUGCGACGACAGUAUAAAAAAAAACUUCGACAUGACACAAAAUUUUAAAACUAACUCAAGUGAUGAGUUUUGUGGAAAAGGUUCUGUAGAUAGUUUAGUUUGGCCCGAUGAUUGCGUUGGUGGAUUUUGGGAUGGGAGGCGUGAGCAUAAAGAAUUUCUUCUUGGUUUACCGGAGUCGGAUUGGGAAGGGAGGAGAGGCGUAUGGGAAGGAAGAAGUCGUCAAGGAGGAAGUCUAGAUAGGAAGAGACUGAAGUGGAAAAGUACUAGAGAAAACCAGUUGCGGGCUGAAGAAUCACCGUCUGUUGGCCGGUCAUCUUUGUCUCCGCGGAGAUUGAUUGUUUCUCCUCCGUGUGCUCGUGUCGAAACCGCUUUACCUAACUCAACCAAUGAAACGUUGAACUCGUCAUUGGAGACUGAUGUUUGGAGGAUGGGGUUUGAACGAUCGAUACCGAACGAAACAAAAGGAUGGAAAUGGAAUCGUGUACAGAAACAGAACACAAACAUGGUGGGUGGUUGGCGUGGUCGUCGUGGGGAGUGGGAGGGUCGAUGGAAAGAAUCGACUGAAGUGCGUCAACCGUCACCAGCGAUGCGUCAACUGUCACCGGCUGUUACUCAACCUUCACCAGCAAUACUUCAAGCGUCACCAGCAAUACGUCAACCGUCACCAGCAAUACGUCAACCGUCACCAGCAAUACGUCAACCGUCACCAGCAAUACGUCAACCGUCACCAGCAAUAAGUCAACCGUCUCCAGCAGUUACUCAACAGUCACCAGCGAUGCGCCAACCGUCACCGGCUUUUCGUCAACCGUCACCGGAUGUACGUCAACCGUCACCGGCUGGUCAUCAGCCGUCACUAGCAAAACGUCAGCCGUCACCAACUGUUGGUGAAGCGUCACCAACCGAAGAGUUCCUAUUGCAGUAUCUGCAUGAGCUCCUAACAAAGUAUUCCGCAAGAUUUGCGGCAGGCGUGAUGAGUGUAGAGCGUCGUGGCACCAAGGCUCUGGAGGUGUGGGCGCGGCGGUCGACAUCAGGCUACCGCGGCGUGAGCGUCGACAACAUGACAACCGCGUGGCGGGACGGUCUUGCCUUCUGUGCGCUCAUACAUGCCCACCGCCCCGACCUCAUAGAUUUCGACUCGUUGGACGCUGCCAACGCGCUCGAGAACAACGAGCUUGCGUUCCGCGUGGCCGAAGAGGAGCUUGGCAUCCCCGCCCUCCUGGACCCGGAAGACAUGGUGGACUCUGCCGUGCCCGACCGACUGUCCGUCCUCACUUACGUGUCCCAGUACUACCAAGCCUUCGCGUCCAUGGGGCUAACCAUCGGCGGCUGCUCCCCGAAGAACUCCCCCAAGGCGGACUGUCGGAUGAAGCUACCUGAGGAUAUCGAUGACAGUGCGACAGGGCUUCCCCAGCCGGAGGUCAUCAAAGCCUCAGCGCCUCCCACCGCAGCUCAAACAGAUCGGCUUGCAUCUUCGGUGCUCAAAGAAAGAAAUUCGACCGCUUUUCCUGUCGGUAAAGGCAGAGACAUGCAAUCUUCAACGCCUGUGAAAAUGGUCGUUGCCGCGAACGGAAAAGAAAUUUCACAACCGACAUCCACGCCAUCAUCCAAAGACCCUACCACCGUUGCCACGGCCGUCACACCGACAAAUUCAAGCACCAGAACCUCAACUACAACCACGACGUCCUCUGCAAAGUACAACUCCGUGUACUCUCCGAGCUACACUUCGCCUUACUCUACCUCCUCCAAAUACCGGGGCUCUUCCACAUCGUCAUCUCCACCCGCGUCAUCACCCAUCAAUAGCAGUAAUAAUGACAGCAAUAAUAAAAGCUCUACACAAUCACUCAGAGAAACAAAUAACGAUAAAGUGUCGAACGCGACCAGCAACAUCAGAGUCGCCACCGUACAAGAGCGCAUCAGAAGUCUUGCUCUGGCCACGUCGCCUGUAAAUAAGUUGAGCAGCGACGAAAAGCGGAACCAAGACGACGAUUACGAGCCCGUGUUGUUCGAUGGCGACGUCUCGCCACCCUUACCUCCUCGGCAGAACUCAGCUACCACCCCUACCAGUAGUAGAGGUUCUACUAUGAAAAGAGAGUUCUGCGACGCAUGCGGUGAACAGGUGUUCUUAGCUCAACGCUUUACGGUGUUCGGUAAGCUUUUACAUCGCACCUGUUUCAGGUGUAACUCGUGCAACGUGUUGCUGACGGUUGCAGAUUGUUGUCUCACAGAGUCCAAGGAUUUCUGUUGUGAAGUCUGCGUGCAGAAAGAGCACGACCAGCGAGUGCGGGAUUUGGGUGGGGCUUCUUUAGAUUCAAGAGGUGCCCAUCGUGGAGGAGAGAAGUAUAAUUCAGAUGAUGAUGAUGUGUACGAGAGCAUAGAGUUCAGACACGACAGCAGUGAUACGCGGCAAGCCAACAUGGAGGAGGAUAGCGAGACUACUAGUAAUGGCCGAUCGUCCAGCGGCUCUAAUGCGAAUCUGGACACAACUGCAAUGUUAAAUGAUGACGUCACUUCUACGUCCACUCCUACAAAACCUAAACCACGGACGGUGUUUCUAUCGAGCACCCUGGCAUCGGACAAUAAAGAACCGCCAACUAUUCAUCCCAUUCCAUUGGCUCGGAAGAUAUCGACUGAAGAACCGAAUUUGCUGAAGUCGAUCGAGGCCGUUGAAGGCGAUUUAGUAGACGCUCCUCCUGUGCGAAGGACUUCUGAAGAAGCUUCGGCUGUCACGGAAGAAGCCUCUCGUGCUAAGGAUACCGCCAACGCCAAUAACGAUGUAGAAACUAAUGACGAUUUUAGAGUCGCAAAACAUGACGACGACAAAGAAAAAGAUAACGACAAAUUUGUCGUGCAACGAGCAGUGCGAGAAAUGAAGAAGACUUCGGAGGAAGAUCAAGAGGCAACAUUGGAAAGAGAUGAAGAAUCUGGUUCGAUUAUUAAAGAAGAACCUGGUUUGGUGGCUGAACAAAAAGUUGGAGUGGUCACAGAACCAGAACAUGGCUUAGGCAUCGAACAAGAACCUGAUGUCAUUAAACAAGUACCUGACGUAAUCCAAGAACAUGAAUCUGAAUCGGUCCAAGAAAAAGAAUCUGACUCAGUUUUAGAAAAAGAAUCUGAAUCGGUUCAAGAAAAUGAACCUGAAUCGGUUCAAGAAAAAGAAUCUGAAUCGGUUCAAGAAAAAGAAUCCGACUCCUUCAACGAACAAAAAGCUGAAGUGGUUCAAGAAUACGAAUCUGAAUUGAUCAAAAAAUCAGAACCUGAAUUGGUCAAAGAACAGGAAUCCGGCUUCGAGAAAUCUGAUAUCAUCGAGUAUCCUGAUGAACUAAACCCAUUUGAUGACGAUGUAGAAACUGACACAAAUGCAGUCCCCGAACACACCACUGAAACCAAACUUGAGAAAGACGCGAUUGUGGCAGUGGAGAAAAAUGUCGACACCAAACCCGACGUCAUACCGUCUAUUGAUAUGCGAGAGUGUCUUGCCGACCAAGAUAUCCGUAGCGACAGCGGUGGCAUGAUGAAACAAUCAACGUUGCCUUCCAAUUUUGCCAUGACAGGAAACAGAGACGAACUUAGCACUAAGAGUAAAACUCUGCACCAGAGAAUCGUAAAAGCGAAUUUAAAUCCCUUUGAAAGCGAAGACGAAGACACCAGCGACGACAACAACGAACAGACCCCCGUCACGACGAAGAAAGUGGUCCCUGCUCCCCAGUUCCCACCCGUGGCUACUCGUCUUGCAGGUCGUGGUCAUACCCCCGACCGACCUCCGUUACCCACGUCAGCAGCUCACAACCAAUCUGCUUCGUCACUAAAUCCGUUCUGGAGCGACAGUGACGAGCCUGACGAAGUUAAAGAAACGAAGCCGGCCAAAGUGAAACCUCCGCGCCCGCCUCCGCCUUCGCUUGCUUCCCGUGAAGGGACUCCAUCCCGGACCAGUGGUCCGCCGGUCACAAGAACCCCUCCUGAGAGUCAUCGCAAGAAGCCCGCUCCUGUACCCGACCCUGUGACGAACAAACCGGGGGGCAACAUCGCAGGUUCGCCGUCGGGGGUGAGCACCCCGUCACGGGGGACCACCCCACGCCCCGGUAGCCCCAGCCUCUCCAUCAGCAGUGAGGCCAGCGCUGGGGGCGGCGUGAGGCUCAAGAAGAAGAACAGACCUGCGCCUCCCCCGCCCGGGGGUCAGGCCACGCGCACUCCAGAGUCGCCAGUGCUGCUGACGAAGGAGCAGAAGGACCUGAGGAACUCUAGCAGCCAACAGCUGGCCAAGGACUGUCCGUCUGGAAGCGAGAGAAGCGACUCGAGGAGGAGCACGCCGACCUCGAGUAUCAGAUCAGGUGCCUUAUGAUGAAGCGCGCCGCCCGAACCCCCGACCAGCCGGCCGACGACGACGCCGCUCUCGAGGAGGUGCUGAUCGCUCGUCUCGUGUCUGUGGUCGAACAAAGGAACGAAAUCAUCACGUGUCUUGAGCUGGACCGCCAGAGGGAGAGACA
rnacentral:misc_RNA from 1 species